rnacentral:rRNA from 1 species
CGGGUUGCUAGAUAGCGCGGAUCCAAGCGAUCCAAGGUUCUUUGACAACUGAAUCGAGUCAAGGCGAUAUGAUUCGCUGAGAGAUAAGCACUCAAGUUUGGUCAAGCUACUAAGGGUGCACGGUGGAUGCCUUGGCGUAGAGAGGCGAUGAAGGACGUGGUAAGCUGCGAUAAGCCUCGGGGAGCCGCAAGCAGGCUUUGAUCCGGGGAUGUCCGAAUGGGGAAACCUGGCAGAGGUUAUGCUCUGUCGUCCUGGAGUGAACACAUAGCUUCAGUGAAGCCAACCAGGGGAAGUGAACCAUCUCAGUACCCUGAGGAAAAGAAAGCAAUAGCGAUUCCGUUAGUAGCGGCGAGCGAAUGCGGAAUUAGCCUAAACCUCGAAGGUGUCAAGCCUGCAAGCGUUGCCUUUGGGGAGUUGUGGGACGUUGCUUGAUCUGUUUGCAGACGGGUCGAGAAGUUACAAAACAUCAGUCUAGUAGAAGUCUUUGGAACGAGACGCCAUAGAGGGUGAUAGCCCCGUAAGCGAAAGAUUGAUGACUUCUUUGCAGCGCUCCCAAGUACCACGGGGCACGGGAAACCCUGUGGGAAUCCGGGUGGACCAUCAUCCAAGGCUAAAUACUACUCUACGACCGAUAGUGAACCAGUACCGUGAGGGAAAGGUGAAAAGCACCCCUGUGAGGGGAGUGAAAUAGUACCUGAAACCGUGCAUCUACAAGCGGUGGGAGCGCUAUGGUUGUACUUGUACAACCAGCGCAACUGCGUGCCUUUUGCAUAAUGAGCCGGCUAGUUACUGUCACUGGCAAGGCGACGCGACGUGCAGAGCCGAAGCGAAAGCGAGUCUUAACAGGGCGCACAGUCAGUGGUAGUAGACGCGAAGCGAGGUGAUCUACCCAUAGCCAGGGUGAAGCUGAGGUAACACUCAGUGGAGGCCCGAACCAGUGUUGGUUGAAAACAACUUGGAUGAGCCGUGGGUAGGGGUGAAAGACUAAUCAAACCUCGUUAUAGCUCGUUCUCCUCGAAAUAGCUUUAGGGCUAGCCUCGCGGAUGCAUCGCGGAGGUAGAGCACUGGAUGGACUAGGGGGCCCUACAGCUUACCGAAUCCAACCAAACUCCGAAUGCCGUACAUGUGAACCGCGGGAGUCAGACUAUGGGGGAUAAGCUCCAUGGUCGAGAGGGAAACAGCCCAGAUCGCCAGCUAAGGUCCCCAAAUGUCAGCUAAGUGGGAAAGGUUGUGGAGACGCUCAGACAGCCAGGAGGUUGGCUUAGAAGCAGCCAUCCUUUAAAGAAAGCGUAAUAGCUCACUGGUCAAGUGGCUCUGUGCCGAUAAUGUAACGGGGCUCAAGCUGACUACCGAAGCUGCGAAAUUCUGACUUGUUCAGAAUUGGUAGAGGAGCAUUCUGUGGGCGUUGAAGUCGAACCGUAAGGAUCGGUGGAGCGUACAGAAGAGACCCUGCCGGCACAAGUAGCGAUAAAGCAGGUGAGAACCCUGCUCGCCGAAAGUCUAAGGUUUCCUGAGGAAGGUCAAUCCGCUCAGGGUUAGUCGGUCCCUAAGGCGAGGCCGAAAGGCGUAGUCGAUGGGAAACAGGUCAACAUUCCUGUACCACCAAGUUCUCGUUUGUACGAUGGGGUGACGCAGAAGGAUAGCCCGGCCACCGGUUGGAAGUGGUGGUUCAAGCGUGUAGGGGGGAGCGGUAGGAAAAUCCGCCGCACCAUUCAACCCCGAGGCGUGAUGUCGAGGCCCUCGGGCCGUAAAGUGGGUGACUCCAUGCUGCCAAGAAAAACCUCUAAGGAGAGGACUGGGUGACCGUACCGCAAACCGACACAGGUAGACGGGGAGAGAAUCCCAAGGCGCUUGAGUGAUCUCUUGUGAAGGAACUCGGCAAACUGACACCGUAACUUCGGGAGAAGGUGUGCCACUGGACGUGUAGGAGCUCGCCUCCGAAGCGUCUGGCGGUCGCAGUGAAAAGGCCCAGGCGACUGUUUACUAAAAACACAGGACUCUGCAAAGUCAAAAACGACGUAUAGGGUCUGACGCCUGCCCGGUGCCGGAAGGUUAAGAGGAGGGGUCAGCCUUCGGGCGAAGCUCUGAAUCGAAGCCCCGGUAAACGGCGGCCGUAACUAUAACGGUCCUAAGGUAGCGAAAUUCCUUGUC